GGGUUGUGAGGUUAAGCGACUAAGCGUACACGGUGGAUGCCCUGGCAGUCAGAGGCGAUGAAGGACGUGCUAAUCUGCGAAAAGCGUCGGUAAGGUGAUAUGAACCGUUAUAACCGGCGAUGUCCGAAUGGGGAAACCCAGUGCAAUUCGUUGCACUAUCGUUAACUGAAUACAUAGGUUAACGAGGCGAACCGGGGGAACUGAAACAUCUAAGUACCCCGAGGAAAAGAAAUCAACCGAGAUUCCCCCAGUAGCGGCGAGCGAACGGGGAGCAGCCCAGAGUCUGAAUCAGCUUGUGUGUUAGUGGAACGGUCUGGAAAGUCCGACGGUACAGGGUGAUAGUCCCGUACACCAAAAUGCACAGGUUGUGAACUCGAAGAGUAGGGCGGGACACGUGGUAUCCUGUCUGAAUAUGGGGGGACCAUCCUCCAAGGCUAAAUACUCCUGACUGACCGAUAGUGAACCAGUACCGUGAGGGAAAGGCGAAAAGAACCCCGGCGAGGGGAGUGAAAAAGAACCUGAAACCGUGUACGUACAAGCAGUGGGAGCACCUUCGGGUGUGACUGCGUACCUUUUGUAUAAUGGGUCAGCGACUUAUAUUCUGUAGCAAGGUUAACCGUAUAGGGGAGCCGCAGGGAAACCGAGUCUUAACUGGGCGUUAAGUUGCAGGGUAUAGACCCGAAACCCGGUGAUCUAGCCAUGGGCAGGUUGAAGGUUGGGUAACACUAACUGGAGGACCGAACCGACUAAUGUUGAAAAAUUAGCGGAUGACUUGUGGCUGGGGGUGAAAGGCCAAUCAAACCGGGAGAUAGCUGGUUCUCCCCGAAAGCUAUUUAGGUAGCGCCUCGUGAAUUCAUCUUCGGGGGUAGAGCACUGUUUCGGCUAGGGGGUCAUCCCGACUUACCAACCCGAUGCAAACUACGAAUACCGAAGAAUGUUAUCACGGGAGACACACGGCGGGUGCUAACGUCCGUCGUGAAGAGGGAAACAACCCAGACCGCCAGCUAAGGUCCCAAAGUCAUGGUUAAGUGGGAAACGAUGUGGGAAGGCACAGACAGCCAGGAUGUUGGCUUAGAAGCAGCCAUCAUUUAAAGAAAGCGUAAUAGCUCACUGGUCGAGUCGGCCUGCGCGGAAGAUGUAACGGGGCUAAACCAUGCACCGAAGCUGCGGCAGCGACACUAUGUGUUGUUGGGUAGGGGAGCGUUCUGUAAGCCUGCGAAGGUGUGCUGUGAGGCAUGCUGGAGGUAUCAGAAGUGCGAAUGCUGACAUAAGUAACGAUAAAGCGGGUGAAAAGCCCGCUCGCCGGAAGACCAAGGGUUCCUGUCCAACGUUAAUCGGGGCAGGGUGAGUCGACCCCUAAGGCGAGGCCGAAAGGCGUAGUCGAUGGGAAACAGGUUAAUAUUCCUGUACUUGGUGUUACUGCGAAGGGGGGACGGAGAAGGCUAUGUUAGCCGGGCGACGGUUGUCCCGGUUUAAGCAUGUAGGCUGGUUAUCCAGGCAAAUCCGGAUAAUCAAGGCUGAGGUGUGAUGACGAGGCACUACGGUGCUGAAGUAACAAAUGCCCUGCUUCCAGGAAAAGCCUCUAAGCAUCAGGUAACAUUGAAUCGUACCCCAAACCGACACAGGUGGUCAGGUAGAGAAUACCAAGGCGCUUGAGAGAACUCGGGUGAAGGAACUAGGCAAAAUGGUGCCGUAACUUCGGGAGAAGGCACGCUGGUGUGUAGGUGAAGUCCCUGCGGAUGGAGCUGAGACCAGUCGAAGAUACCAGCUGGCUGCAACUGUUUAUUAAAAACACAGCACUGUGCAAACACGAAAGUGGACGUAUACGGUGUGACGCCUGCCCGGUGCCGGAAGGUUAAUUGAUGGGGUUAUCCGUAAGGAGAAGCUCUUGAUCGAAGCCCCGGUAAACGGCGGCCGUAACUAUAACGGUCCUAAGGUAGCGAAAUUCCUUGUCGGGUAAGUUCCGACCUGCACGAAUGGCGUAAUGAUGGCCAGGCUGUCUCCACCCGAGACUCAGUGAAAUUGAACUCGCUGUGAAGAUGCAGUGUACCCGCGGCAAGACGGAAAGACCCCGUGAACCUUUACUAUAGCUUGACACUGAACAUUGAGCCUUGAUGUGUAGGAUAGGUGGGAGGCUUUGAAGCGUGGACGCCAGUCUGCGUGGAGCCAACCUUGAAAUACCACCCUUUAAUGUUUGAUGUUCUAACGUUGGCCCCUGACCGGGGUUGCGGACAGUGUCUGGUGGGUAGUUUGACUGGGGCGGUCUCCUCCCAAAGCGUAACGGAGGAGCACGAAGGUUAGCUAAUCCUGGUCGGACAUCAGGAGGUUAGUGCAAUGGCAUAAGCUAGCUUGACUGCGAGCGUGACGGCGCGAGCAGGUGCGAAAGCAGGUCAUAGUGAUCCGGUGGUUCUGAAUGGAAGGGCCAUCGCUCAACGGAUAAAAGGUACUCCGGGGAUAACAGGCUGAUACCGCCCAAGAGUUCAUAUCGACGGCGGUGUUUGGCACCUCGAUGUCGGCUCAUCACAUCCUGGGGCUGAAGUAGGUCCCAAGGGUAUGGCUGUUCGCCAUUUAAAGUGGUACGCGAGCUGGGUUUAGAACGUCGUGAGACAGUUCGGUCCCUAUCUGCCGUGGGCGCUGGAGAAUUGAGGGGGGCUGCUCCUAGUACGAGAGGACCGGAGUGGACGCAUCACUGGUGUUCGGGUUGUCAUGCCAAUGGCACUGCCCGGUAGCUAAAUGCGGAAGAGAUAAGUGCUGAAAGCAUCUAAGCACGAAACUUGCCCCGAGAUGAGUUCUCCCUGAGACUUUAAGUCUCCUGAAGGAACGUUAAAGACGAUGACGUUGAUAGGCCGGGUGUGUAAGCGCAGCGAUGCGUUGAGCUAACCGGUACUAAUGAACCGUGAGGCUUAACCUUACAACGCCGAAG
rnacentral:rRNA from 1 species